AGUGAACGCUGGCGGUAGGCCUAACACAUGCAAGUCGAACGGCAGCACAGUAAGAGCUUGCUCUUACGGGUGGCGAGUGGCGGACGGGUGAGGAAUACAUCGGAAUCUACUUUUUCGUGGGGGAUAACGUAGGGAAACUUACGCUAAUACCGCAUACGACCUACGGGUGAAAGCAGGGGAUCUUCGGACCUUGCGCGAUUGAAUGAGCCGAUGUCGGAUUAGCUAGUUGGCGGGGUAAAGGCCCACCAAGGCGACGAUCCGUAGCUGGUCUAGAGGAUGAUCAGCCACACUGGAGCUGAGACACGGUCCAGACUCCUACGGGAGGCAGCAGUGGGGAAUAUUGGACAAUGGGCGCAAGCCUGAUCCAGCCAUACCGCGUGGGUGAAGAAGGCCUUCGGGUUGUAAAGCCCUUUUGUUGGGAAAGAAAAGCAGCAGGUUAAUACCCCGCUGUUCUGACGGUACCCAAAGAAUAAGCACCGGCUAACUUCGUG
rnacentral:rRNA from 1 species